CUGUUGGGUCUGGGGGUUCCAGGCAGGGCACUGGGCACCUGUGGGCUUGUAGUGACUCUGCCUCUCGUCCCUUCCCCUACCUCCCACUUCCCAGAGGAGACUCUUGCCCAGCCUGUCUGCUCGCAGCCCACGACCUGCACAGGACAGAGCAGGACAGUGACCAGGCUGCUGGGGGAGGGCCCAGGGAGAGUCCACAGCCUCCUGAGGUCUCCCCUAGCAUGAUCCUGUGUUACCCCCGCCCACCUGCGGCUGACCAGUCAGCCGGGAUGCCUGCAGGGAUGGGGAGCUCACUCCCUAUUAAUGGAGGGUCCUGCGGGGGAAUCUCUCCUCACUCACCCCUCUGGCCUGCUCACCCCACAGGUCACAGGCAGGACCAGAUGCCUGGCCACGAGUCCUUAUGCUGGUGUUCUCCACAGGCCAGAAUCCUGGGCGCCCCACUCUGGGUCCACCCCCCUGGCCCUCCCACACCCACCCCACCUGGCCAUGCUCCUAGCCCUCUGUGCCUGCCCAGCUCCUUUAACUCCUCAAAGUGACCCUGAGGGCCCGAUCCUGGACUGUGCUCUGGGAGGUUAAGGGGCUUGUCCAGGACACGCAGGGUGGGGCAGGGUGGGUCCAGGAACUCGGUUGUGUGCUCUGUUAUCACUUCUGAACUUUGUAGUGUCCUGAACCCAGGGCCGGCCUUUCACUUUUGCCAGUCUUGCAGAGGAGGAAGCUGGGGAGGCUGUUCCCAGCCUCAGUGUGGGACUUCCGGGCAGCACCCCUGCCAGGACUGCCCCUGGUGGGGGCCCUGGAACAGCCUGGCACCCCCACCCCCACCCCUGGGAACCGGGAGCUGGCCUUGGCUUCCUGCUCCUAUUAAGCCCUUUAAAGGAAGACGAUAAAUGACAGCCUGGCUGCCCGGCUGGGAGGCGAUGACGCAGCCGCCGCCGUGGCCCCUGGCGGUCAGGCUGGUCCCGUGGGCAUAUCCCUGCUGGCCGCCACCCCCUAUACCCCCCUGGCCUCUCUCCGGUCUGGGCUGCAUCAUCCCUGCCAGAGUCCUCUCCCAGCUGGGGACACACACGGGCCCACGGAGGAGGGUAAAUGCCUUCCUCCUGCCGGUUGCUGAACCCUUCCCAUGUGCUGCCUGAGCUAAUAACGGUCACUGUCCCCAUUUGACAGAAGGGAAACAGGCUCAGGGGGAAGUCCAAGCGCAGUCCCUGGGUGCCAAGAUGGUCAAUAAGGCCUGCUGGGGCAGGGCCAUUUUUGGAGAGCGUCUGGGGUGACCCCGAAAGCGACCUCGAGAGGCGCCGCGACCCAGAGCUCUGGAACGGCAGGGCCAGAUCUCGGGUCGCCUGGGCGAACGGGUCCCAGGCCUACUGUCCCCCUUCCCGGACCAGUCCAGGGCCCGCGGGCGCUUCCCGGCGGUGAGUCACCGCGGGCACGGCCGGCUGCAGCGCAUUCCUCCGCGGGGCCGGCGCCCGGGUGGGGUGGAGAUCGCUAGUCACCCUACCGGGCCGGGCAGCUGGGACGUCAGGAGCAGGAGAGGCUGGGGCAGGGACGCGGAGGCCAGCCCCG
rnacentral:lncRNA from 1 species